rnacentral:rRNA from 1 species
UUUUUGAGAGUUUGAUCCUAGCUCAGGAUAAACGCUGGCGGCGUGCCUUAGGCAUGCAAGUCGAAUGCAGACGCAAGUCGUGCAUGGCAGACGGGUGAGUAACGCGUAGGAAUCUACCCCUUGGUGUGGAAUAACCCCGAGAAAUCGGGGAUAAUACCGCAUAAGUUCUCCGGAAGAAAGGCCAUAACUGGCCGCCGAGGGAGGAGCCUGCGUCCUAUCAGCUUGUUGGUGAGGUAAUGGCUCACCAAGGCUAUAACGGGUAGGGGGCGUGAGAGCGUGUCCCCCCACAAGGUCACUGAGACACGGGGCCUACACCUACGGGUGGCAGCAACUAGGAAUUUUGCGCAAUGGGCGAAAGCCUGACGCAGCGACGCCGCGUGCGGGAUGACGGCCUUUUUGGUUGUAAACCGCUGUGGAGAGGGAAGAUAAUGACGGUACCUCUCUAGAAANNNNNNNNNNNNNNNNNNNNNNNGCACCUGCUAACUACGUGCCAGAAGCCUCGGUGAUACGUAGGGUGCAAGCGUUAUCCGGAUUUACUGGGCGUAAAGAGUAUCGUAGGCGGCUGAAUAAGUGAUUGGUGAAAUCCUUGGGCUCAACCCAAGAACUGCCAGUCAUACUGUUUAGCUAGAGUGACUUCGGAAAGGUUGGAAUUCUCGGUGUAGGGGUGAAAUCCGUUGAUAUCGAGAGGAACACCAAGGGCGAAGGCAGGCCUUUAGGAGUCUACUGACGCUGAUGAACGAAAGCUUGGGUAGCGAACCGGAUUAGAGACCCGGGUAGUCCAAGCCGUAAACGAUGCCCACUAGAUGGCCCCCGCUUUGCGGGGACUGUCGCAAGCUAACGCGUUAAGUGGGCCGCCUGGGGAGUACGGCCGCAAGGCUAAAACUCAAAGGAAUUGACGGGGAAAUGCACAACCAGGGGAGCAUGUGGUUUAAUUCGAUACAAAGCGAUGAACCUUACCUGGGCUUGACAUCUAUUUGACAACUCUAAGAAAUUAGGGUUUUCCGCAAGGACAGAUAGACAGCUGCUGCAUGGUUGUCGUCAGCUCGUACCGUGAGGCGUCGGCUUAAGUGCCGUAACGAGCGCAACCCCCACUGCAUGUUGCAUAUCAUGCGGGACUGCCUUGCUAGAAGCAGGGAGGAAGGAGGGGAUGAUGUCAAAUCAGCACGGCGCUUACGUCCAGGGCAACACACAUCCUACAAUGGCGAGGGACAGCGGGUUGCGAAGCCGCAAGGCGGAGCUAAUCCUUCAAACCCUCCCUCAGUUCGGAUUGUGGGCUGCAACUCGCCCACAUGAAGUUGGACUUGGUAGUAAUCGCGGAUCAGCAGACCGCGGUGAAUGCGUUCCCAUUUCUUGUACACACCGCCCGUCACAUGAGGAAAGUCGGCAGCGCCCGAAGCAGUCCCGCUUGCGGGACGACUAAGGUGAGGUCGGCGAUCAGCGUGAAGUCGUAACAAGGUAUCCGUUCUGGAAGGAGCGGAUGGAUCACCUCCUUUCUAAGGAG